UACGUAGGGUGCAAGCGUUAAUCGGAAUUACUGGGCGUAAAGAGCGCGCAGGCGGUCGUUCAAGUCGAGUGUGAAAGCCCCCGGCUCAACUGGGGAGGGUCAUUCGAUACUGAUCGACUUGAAGGCAGGAAAGGGAAGUGGAAUUCCCGGUGUAGUGGUGAAAUGCGUAGAUAUCGGGAGGAACACCAGUGGCGAAGGCGACUUCCUGGCCUGUUCUUGACGCUGAGGCGCGAAAGCUAGGGGAGCAAACGGG
rnacentral:rRNA from 1 species